rnacentral:rRNA from 1 species
UACGUAGGGGGCAAGCGUUAUCCGGAUUUACUGGGUGUAAAGGGAGCGUAGACGGCGGUGCAAGCCAGAUGUGAAAGCCCGGGGCUCAACCCCGGGACUGCAUUUGGAACUAUAUGGCUAGAGUGUCGGAGAGGCAGGCGGAAUUCCUAGUGUAGCGGUGAAAUGCGUAGAUAUUAGGAGGAACACCAGUGGCGAAGGCGGCCUGCUGGACGAUGACUGACGUUGAGGCUCGAAAGCGUGGGGAGCAAACAGG